UUCCUAUCUGGUUUUGAAUUCUGAAGUGGUUUAAAUGAGUAGAUAGACCUGAGACAAAAUUUACCAACUUUUUGCCAUUUCUAAUGUUCAAACUUGCAGAAAGUCUUAAUCCCAGUUUUGCAAGAGACAGGUAGGUUACACAAGGCAAUCUCAUCUGAUGUUGGAUGAUUUCAUUAAGAAAUAUUGAAGGGAAGUUUGGGCAGAAAGGAAAGGACUAUGUUAAGUGGGCAGCAAAAAUGGCUUUAAGCCUUGGUGCUGGGGUUCCAUGGGUGAUGUGCAGCAAACUGAUGCUCCGGAUGAAGUUGUAAGAUAGAUGCAUGCAAUGGAUACUACUGUGACGGUUAUAGGCCAAAUUCAGAUGCUGAUCCAUCGAUAUUAACAAUUUGAUGGCACCGCCUCCACCACCUCCAAUAGACCAAGCUUCAGAUGCAAAUUUAAGAGAGUCGCCAUCUAUUUUAGUUCGGGAGUCACAAGAUGAUUCUUAGUUUAUUUACAUUAAUUUACUAAAGAAUGAACUUUAUGAAGUUUUUUUUUUUAUUUUGGUAGGGGUAACCUUAAAAUGAUAGCUUUAUGACUUAUUUUAGUAUUGAACAUUAUAAAGAAUUUUAGCAUUAAACAUUUUAUUA